GGAGAAUAAAAAUAAGCUAAUUUAACUGCGAAUUGAGGGUGUACAAAUCAAACCAAACUGUUAGUAAAUACAUGGUAGCUUAAAACGAGCGUAAUUCAAGGGAUCAAGUAGUCAAAUGUUAACAUCUCCUAUUAUCGAUAGUAGGUUUAAAUUCCUUUUCUUAUAUAUAAUAAUGCUUAAGAAACUUGAGUUAUCGUUAAUCCGAAAACAAUUUUGUGGGCGAGA
rnacentral:misc_RNA from 1 species